GUUGUGGUGUGUGUGUGUGUAUGUGUAUACACAUGUAUAAAUAUACAUACACACACACACACACAAUGGACUAUCACUCAGCCA
rnacentral:miRNA from 14 species